UACGGGGGGGGCGAGCGUUGUUCGGAAUUACUGGGCGUAAAGGGCUCGUAGGCGGCCAACUAAGUCAGACGUGAAAUCCCUCGGCUUAACCGGGGAACUGCGUCUGAUACUGGAUGGCUUGAGUUCGGGAGAGGGAUGCGGAAUUCCAGGUGUAGCGGUGAAAUGCGUAGAUAUCUGGAGGAACACCGGUGGCGAAGGCGGCAUCCUGGACCGACACUGACGCUGAGGAGCGAAAGCCAGGGGAGCAAACGGG
rnacentral:rRNA from 1 species